UAUACGCAGUGUAUAUAUAAAUAAAUAAAUGUUUCGCAUUUUUAGUGUAGGUAGAUCUCUUCGACUGGUCAUGUUAAUAGUAGCUCGCAAGUCAAAAAAGUGUGGGCACCCCUGAUAUAUAGCAUUAGUAAUAACUAAAAAAACGGUGUAAUUACCAGUCUUGCCUCCCCACAAAGUCUGUAGGUUUGUGCUGUGUUUGUAUGUGUGAUCUGAGCGCCAUCCGGUGGACAGACGACAUUUUUAUUUGAUACUCGCGCCAUUUUUGCGUUGAGUAUGGGCGCAACCAAGUGCAUAAUUGGAGGGGGGCACUCACCCAUUUUCCUUAACAAACGGAAAUAUAUUAAAAACGAGUAGACGUAAAUAAAUAGAAUAGAUGAAAAGACAGAUCAGUUUGCAAGGUUCAUUAAAGGGGGACAUAUAGAAAACAUUUUCUACUGUAUAUUGGGAGGGAAAGAUUGGUAUCACCUCAACAUUGGCGGGGACACGCCCCCCCCAAAAGAAUACGUGGUUACGCCCAUAGUUGUAGGAGACACAGCAGCGACGGAGUCGGAGUAGGAGACACAUUUUUCCUCAGGAGUCACGACACAGCAGACACGGGGUUUUCUUUCUUCAAUUUUAACUUUUCUCAGGAGUUUAAGCCCUUUGUGCUUCUCAGGCCGACGUUUCUGCAGACAUCAUGGCUGGAAAUGCACAGCAGGGCAACCAACAGGCUGUACCACAAGACGUGGUGGCGAGACGAGCGUCCCUGCAGACUUUAAUUGAUGAUGCAUUGCAGGAGCUUCAGAACGUUGUCGAAGGACGGGAUUAAGACAGGUGAGCUGCAUGAUGCUCAUCAUCGAAUGAUCGUUGAGCAUAAGAAGGAGGUGGAAGAGAGGUGUUUGUUGUUGUUGUU